rnacentral:rRNA from 1 species
UGGGGAAUUUUGGACAAUGGGCGAAAGCCUGAUCCAGCAAUGCCGCGUGUGUGAAGAAGGCCUUCGGGUUGUAAAGCACUUUUGUCCGGAAAGAAAUCCUUGGCUCUAAUACAGUCGGGGGAUGACGGUACCGGAAGAAUAAGCACCGGCUAACUACGUGCCAGCAGCCGCGGUAAUACGUAGGGUGCAAGCGUUAAUCGGAAUUACUGGGCGUAAAGCGUGCGCAGGCGGUUUGCUAAGACCGAUGUGAAAUCCCCGGGCUCAGCCUGGGAACUGCAUUGGUGACUGGCAGGCUAGAGUAUGGCAGAGGGGGGUAGAAUUCCACGUGUAGCAGUGAAAUGCGUAGAGAUGUGGAGGAAUACCGAUGGCGAAGGCAGCCCCCUGGGCCAAUACUGACGCUCAUGCACGAAAGCGUGGGGAGCAAACAGGAUUAGAUACCCUGGUAGUCCACGCCCUAAACGAUGUCAACUAGUUGUUGGGGAUUCAUUUCCUUAGUAACGUAGCUAACGCGUGAAGUUGACCGCCUGGGGAGUACGGUCGCAAGAUUAAAACUUAAAUGAAUUGACGGGGUCAUAGCUG